rnacentral:rRNA from 1 species
GCCCGCUCAGAAACUCAAAGGAAUUGACGGGACCCCGCACAAGCGGUGGAUCAUGUUGUUUAAUUCGAUGAUACGCGAAGAACCUUACCAGGUCUUGACAUCCCCCGCGAUGCUUUAGAGUUAUAAAGCGGAGGUAUUCGGGGAGACAGGUGGUGCAUGGUUGUCGUCAGCUCGUGUCGUGAGAUGUUGGGUUAAGUCCCGCAACGAGCGCAACUCCUAUUGCUAGUUACCAUCAUUAAGUUGGGGACUCUAGCGAGACUGCCAGUGAUAAACUGGAGGAAGGUGGGGAUGACGUCAAAUCAUCAUGCCCCUUAUGACCUGGGCUACAAACGUGAUACAAUGGCUGGAACAAAGGGAUGCGAAGCAGUGAUGUGGAGCGAAACCCAUAAAAACAGUCUCAGUUCGGAUUGAAGUCUGCAACUCGACUUCAUGAAGUCGGAAUCGCUAGUAAUCGCGGAUCAGCCAAGCCGCGGUGAAUACGUUCCCGGGCCUU